GGUCAUAUAGUGUAGCGGUUAGCACAUGGGAUUCUGACGGGAGAUUCCCAUAACCCAGGUUCGAUUCCUGGUAUGACCU